rnacentral:rRNA from 1 species
GUGGGGAAUUUUGGACAAUGGGCGCAAGCCUGAUCCAGCAAUGCCGCGUGCAGGAUGAAGGCCUUCGGGUUGUAAACUGCUUUUGUACGGAACGAAAAGCCCUGGGUUAAUACCCUGGGGUCAUGACGGUACCGUAAGAAUAAGCACCGGCUAACUACGUGCCAGCAGCCGCGGUAAUACGUAGGGUGCGAGCGUUAAUCGGAAUUACUGGGCGUAAAGCGUGCGCAGGCGGUGCUGUAAGACAGGCGUGAAAUCCCCGGGCUCAACCUGGGAAUUGCGCUUGUGACUGCAGCGCUGGAGUGCGGCAGAGGGGGAUGGAAUUCCGCGUGUAGCAGUGAAAUGCGUAGAUAUGCGGAGGAACACCGAUGGCGAAGGCAAUCCCCUGGGCCUGCACUGACGCUCAUGCACGAAAGCGUGGGGAGCAAACAGGAUUAGAAACCCGAGUAGUCC